UCCCCAUUACUUGCAAGGCAGUAGAAGAAGCUGUAACAUCCUCAGCUCUAUGCAGCACUGCUCAUCAACAGUUAAAACUUUUACUACUGAAGGAGAAAAAAAGAAGUCUGGCUGGCACUCUUACACGCCAGGACAGAUCAGGCAUGACCCAGUGCUCCAAGGAGUCAUUUCUUUCCUCCUCAAGGCAACUGCACAGCACAUCUUUCUGGAAGGUCUACAGAUAAUCACCCCUCACUGUUACCCACUAUGAACGAUUCCAUAUUCUCUAUGUGUACAUUUAAUACAUCCCUUUAAAUUGAUGCAGAAUGCUGGGGAUCCCCACUCUUUUUCUCUUAGCUCUUUAACGUGACUGAUGAACAGUUGGCUAAUCCCUUCCCUCAGUAUGAGGUGAGAUAUACUGUGGUACCAAGUCCUUCUCAUCCCUGCAGCAUGCCCUUAUGCAAGAUGGCUUUGCUCUUACACAGUGACAGAGAGGGAUAGCCAACCUCUGAGUGUCUUGCUUAACACAGCAGGCGUUUCUUUCACCCUAAUUAAAAGGUGCCCAUGAUUGAUAGGCGGGUGCAUGUAGGCCUUCUCUUUCAAGAUCACAGUGUCUCAAAGCAUCCUUAUAAAUGCC
rnacentral:lncRNA from 1 species